GGAGUGAUAUAUGUAUAGGGGUAAGGUGACAGGGAUACUGGAGUGAUAUAUGUAUAGGGGUAAGGUGACAGGGAUACUGGAGUGAUGGAUGUAGAUAUGAAUAGAGGUAAGGAGACAAGGAUACUGGAGUGAUGGAGGUAGAUAUGUAUAGGGGUAAGGAGACAAGGAUACUGGAGUGAUGGAGGUAGAUAUGUAUAGGGGUAAGGAGACAAGGAUACUGGAGUGAUGGAGGUAGAUAUGUAUAGGGGUAAGGUGACAGGGAUACUGGAGUGAUAUAUGUAUAGGGGUAAGGUGACAGGGAU
ensembl:lncRNA